CCCUACGGGGCGCAGCAGGCGCGAAAACUUUACAAUGCAGGCAACUGCGAUAAGGGAACAUCGAGUGGCACGCAAUUUGUGUGUCUGUCCACCCGUCUAAAAAACGGGUGUUAGCAAGGGCCGGGCAAGACCGGUGCCAGCCGCCGCGGUAAUACCGGCGGCUCGAGUGGUGGCCGAUAUUAUUGAGUCUAAAGGGUCCGUAGCCGGCUUUGCAAGUCUUUUGGGAAAUCCAGCGGCUUAACCGUUGGUCGUCCGGGAGAUACUACAUUGCUUGGGACUGGGAGAGGUAAGAGGUACUCAGGGGGUAGGAGUGAAAUCCUGUAAUCCA
rnacentral:rRNA from 1 species